rnacentral:rRNA from 1 species
CCUACGGGAGGCAGCAGUGGGGAAUAUUGGGCAAUGGAGGCAACUCUGACCCAGCAACGCCGCGUGAAUGAUGAAGGUCCUCUGAUUGGAAAGUUCUUUUUGAAGGGAAGAAGAAAGUGACGGUCCCAUAGGAAUAAGCCUGGGCUAACUACGUGCCAGCAGCCUCGGUAAGACGGAGGAGGCAAGCGUUAGCCGGAAUGACUGGGCGUAAAGGGUGCGUGGGUGGUUUGACAAGUUAGUAGCGCAAAUCCGGUGCUCAACUUCGGAACUACUACUAAAACGGUUGGACUUGAGUGCAGGAGGGGUAAUCGGAAUUCCUGGUGUAGCGGUGGAAUGCUUAGAUAUUAGGCGGAACACCAGUUGCGAAGGCGGCUUGCUAGACUGUAUCUGACACUGAGGCACGAAAGCGUGGGGAGCAAACAGGAUUAGAUACCCGAGUAGUC